rnacentral:siRNA from 1 species
UGUGUAGGUAAACCGUAUCCC